GAAAAUGAUAUGAUAAAAAAAAAAACAAAACAAAAAAAUAUAUCAAAAAAAAACAAAUUAAGUUAUACUAAUAUAAUGAAUGGUGAAGGAUGUAGGAAUGAUGAUGAAAAUAAUGAUAAAGAAGUAACAACAACAACAACAACAACAACAACAACAACAACAGAUGUAGGAAAUGCAAAAGCUUUAUCUUUCAAAUCAUCUACUUCUUAUAUAUCUUCGAUUUCAUCAUGUAACGCAAAUUUUAAUAAUCUAUCAUCUAACGAAACAUACUAUGAUAAAAACAAGGAUGUAGAUGUAGAUGUAGAUGUAGAUGUAGACGCAUAUGAAGUUAACGAUUGUGAUGUUCAAACUAACAGUGGUAAUUCAAAUAAGUUUACUAGUUAUGAUAUGCAUACCAAUUUUAAUGAUAUUACUAAUGCUAAUAACAAGCUUGAUAAGAUGGGUACGAAUAACUCGUUUUUUAAUAAUAAUUCAAAUGUUAUAGAACCUUGUGUAGAAAAUGUAAGAAAAGAAGAUACUACUACUACUAGUAGUAGUAGUAGUACAACUGUUAAUGGGUUCUAUGCAUCUAAUAUAGAUAAAAUACAAAAUUUGAUGUCAAAUGAUAGAACUGGAAAUAUUGGAAAUGUUACUAAUAAUUGUAGUGACAGUAAUAAUAAACAGUUGGUAGGGAAUAUUCGUAGGAUGAACAAUGAAAUGGUGGAAACCUAUCACAACAAACAAGAGUAUAUCAAAAAUAUAAAUAAGUAUAAAAAUGUGAUAAAUAACUUAGAUAGUUAUAACAAUGUAAACAACGUAUGUAAAUUUAUUAAACAUAAUAAUAUGAACGAAUCAGAAAAUUCCAAUGUAAAAUUUGUUAUUGAUGUAACGGAUAGUGCAGGUGGAUCUGGUGGAUCUGGUGGAUCUGGUGGAUCUGGUGGAUCUGGUGGAGCUGGUGGAGCUGGUGGAGCUGGUGGAGCUGGUGGAGCUNNNNNNNNNNGAGCUGGUGGAGCUGGUGGAGCUGGUGGAGCUGGUGGAGCUGGUGGAUCUAGUGGAGCUGGUGGAGCUGGUGGAUCUGGUGGAGCUGGUGGAGCUGGUGGAUCUAGUGGAGCUGGUGGAUCUGGUGUUGAUGGAUCUGGUAUUGAUGGAUCUGGUGUUGAUGGAUCUGGUGUUGGUGGAUCUGGUGUUGAUGGAUCUGGUGUUGGUGGAUCUGGUGUUGGUGGAACUGGUGUAGGUGGAGCUGAUACGACUGUGGUUAGUGCUGCCACGAGUGUAACUAAUGCUUCUACGGUGGGAGCUACUACUAACAUAAAAGAAGAUCUGGAUGAUAUUAACGCCCGAAUCGUCGGUGUGCACUACGACAGGAAACAGUACCGAUGGAAAGCAACUUGGUAUACGUCCCAUGGAAGGAGGUGCGCAAAAUAUUAUCCAAUAAAACAAUAUGGGUAUAUAGAAGCAAAAAAAAUGGCAAUCGAGUGUAGAAAAGCAUACAAUUUAUAUAAGAGGUUAAAAAAGAGCGCAGAGGAUGGUACUACUACUGGUGCUACUACUACUGCUAGUGGUGCUACAUCUGUCAGUAACAACAACGAAGAAGACGAAAUAGAUUUUAGUAAUAGUAUUUUCCCUAAAAAAUACUAUAUAACAUUAUUCGAAAAUGAUGAAAAAAAAGAUGGGUAUUACUAUGAUGCUAAAAAAAGUAGAAAAGGUAUUAACAAAAAAGUUGUAAAUAUAAAUAAUAACGAAAAACAAAGAAGACAUUAUAAUGAAGCACUUAAAAAAAUUAAUAACAUAAAAUAUACUGAUAGUAAAAAAACACGUGAACAUAUAAAUGAAACAAAUAAUUUGAAUGCUAUUAAUAAUAUACCACUACCAUCAACCCGUGCUAGUUCUAAUAAACCAGAUACUAUUACAAAUAAUAAUAAUAAAAAAAAAAAAAAUGAUAAUAGUUUCACAAAUAAGACAAACGUAAUAACAUCUCCAAUUAACACUGAACAGGUUCACAAUUUUUAUAAUUCAAAUAAAUAUAGCCACAAUUAUAAUAACAAGGAUAAAAGUGAAUAUGAGCAUGAACAAAAGUAUUAUAGGAGGAUGCCUUGUUGCAAAUAUGAAAAUUAUGAAUUAUGUAAUAGUGCAUGUUGUUCCAUAAUGGAUAACGAUUUAAAUAUGGGUGCAAAAAAUGUAAACACCUUUUUGAACGAUAUCACAAAUGCAAAAACGGAUAGAACCACAGGUAUAAGAAUAGACCCUUACCCAGGUACAUACAUAGGAACAGGUGCAAGUACAUAUAACACAUAUACAGACACAGGGUUAGACAGCAACACGAACAAUAGUUCCUCUUCUUUGCUAUCACUAUACCAUUUAUCUGAAAAUAUACUGAAAUUUCAAAAGGGGACCAUAAAAUGUAUACUACAAGAUCUUAGAGAUAACUGCUUAUAUAAUUUUGCAUAUGACAUUAAAAAUAGAACAUUUCAAGAAUAUUACAUGGCUAUUCAUUAUUUAAAUAGAUAUGUUGAUGAUUCUAAUUGUCACGAUGAUAUUUUUUUUUUACUCAAACUAUUAGCCCAAAAUUUAGAAAUCAAAAAAAUACCUAGUUUAUAUAAUGAAGAAGAACAAAAAAAACUUUUGAAUUCUUUAACAAUUAUAACUAAGCAAAUGAGAAAUAGUUAUUCUUCUUUUACACAAAAUAAUAUUGACAGCUACAACAAAACUGACCAAUUUUCUUCUCUAAUAUUCCAGUAGUUAAACAAAAAAAAAAAAAAAAAUAAAUAAAGUUAACGCGUGGUACGGUUUUAUAUA
ensembl:lncRNA